ACGCUCGACACCUACGGGAGGCAGCAGUGGGGAAUAUUGCACAAUGGGGGAAACCCUGAUGCAGCGACGCCGCGUGAAGGAAGAAGUAUCUCGGUAUGUAAACUUCUAUCAGCAGGGAAGAAAGUGACGGUACCUGACUAAGAAGCCCCGGCUAAUUACGUGCUAGCAGCCGCGGUAAUCUGAGCGGGCUGGCAAGGC
rnacentral:rRNA from 1 species